CCCCCCCACCCCGUCAAGUCCCUGAGAUCACAGUUAAGUAUGUGUGUUAGCUUUGGGGAGAACCUAGGAUUUCUUCUCCUUGGCUCCGUUGACAAUUGGGUAGGAUUAUUCCUCAUGGUGGGGCCAUCCUGUGUAUCGUAGGGUAUUAAACAGCAUCCCUGGCCUCAACCCACUAGAUGCCAAUGAAACCCCCCAGUUUUGAUGAUCAUCACUGUUUCCAGACAUGAAGAAAUGUCCCCUGGGGGGAGGGUUGCCAGACAAAAUGCAGGUUUCCCAGUUAGAUUUGAAUUUCAGAGAAGCGACUCACAACUUUUUGGUAGAAUUCUGCCCUAAAGAUUGCAUUUUUACUUGCUAAAUCCAGAAACCCUGCGAAACCACCUCAGUUGAGAAACGCUGCCCUGUGAGUGCCUGAUACUUGGGUAGGAGGCUAAGAUACCAGAUGGAGAAGAGGCAACAGGAACGCACUGGCCCAGCCUGGCCGGGGAGGGGUGCUGUCUGGGGGCAGGCCCGGCAAUGAUGAGUGAGACUUCUGGUGACAUCAGCCCUUCUCCUUGGGAAGCUGGUUCACCGGGCUGUCAAUCAUAGUCACCAACCCUGCCCUGCCCUGCCAGACACUGGAGUCAAGCAAGGAGCAGCCACUGCACCCUGUUGCCCAGUCACUGGGUUGAUGAGUGAGACAACCCUGAAGAAGGUCUAUUGAGUUCCUGGAUCCAGCCUGACCUGAAGCUAGUUCCCAAUAUGCGUCUCAAAGAAGAAAAACAUGGGGGCGAUUCUGGCGCAACAUGAUGUCACAAGAUAAAGGACAGGACCUCAUGGCCGCUCGAAAACUCAACAGUAAAGAGAAUGCCAGGACCCUAAAUGAACCCCUACUAACCCUAAGUGAGUCAGAGAAAGUCUCCACCGAUGACUCCCCAGGACCGUGCGGCCACCAACGGAGCCAGCCUGCUGGCCAAAAGAAGGUAGAAAGCGCUUUCAGGCCUACCCAGUGUCUCCUGGCGGAAAAGUGUGGCCCUUACUCCCCCAGAUGCCAUGAGGCCACGUGGGGGGCGACGGCCCCGAGCUGCUCGCGGUCUGGCUCCCCGCAGAAAAACCCCAACUCCCAAGGAACGCCAGGGCCGGAAGCGGAAGCGCGGGUGCGUGCGUACUGCAUUCUGGGAAGUGUAGUCCGGAAGAGUCCGUGAGAGCGGUGCAUUUUGGGGAAGGUAGUCCUCUAGUGGUCUGAGAGCCGGCGGCGUGAGCUGGAGUGGUUCACCUAAACCCCACGCCGUGGCGGGGGUUAACAGUUUGGGGACUUAGAGUGAAUACGUAGAAUUUGUUUUUGUCCCUCCCAACCACCAACACCCACGGAAGCGGAGAAUAGGACCUAUCCACGCUUCAGUGACGGCAAGCGGGCCUGAGUUAUUCCGCCCUCGAACGAGUAAAUCAGCUGCGUAACCUCCUGGAACCUUUGUUUCCGUAUCUGUAAAACGGGCAGAUUAACCAUUCUCACUUGGCAGCCUUGAUAACUCAAUCAAGUAACUAGCAAGGUGUUUAACACACCUUCCUUGCUUGACAAACCCCUCUUCCCUUUGAAGCUGAGCGUGCAGAGCAAAUGGAUGUGCAGGAGCAAAAAUUGUGCUUCAGCGGAGCACUUGGGGCGUUUUCUUUGCAGAGUAGGAGCUCCUGCAAAUUCCAGCCAAAACUCAUAGGGGGAAAUAUAAGGAAAUCUUGUCACCCAGAGACUCAGCAAGGACGUGUGACCUUACUAGCCAACACACAGUAAGAUUGUUGAAACUUUCAAAGUAAACAGUAGGCAGCAAAAAGAACGAGAAAGCUCCAUAUGCACUGAUGGGGGAAAAGCUUCAAGAAAUGGGAUCUUGCAAAGCGUACUCUUUGGCUCUUGGUGGAUGUGGACGGUGUAAAGGUGGAGGUACUUAUAAUGUUUGAAAAGGGGGGGGAGUGGGGAGCAGAGAUGGACUGCCAAGGUCUGGAGAGGGUGAGGUGCCCAGGGGACACCCUAAAAGGAAAGGUUCCGGAGGCACAAGAUUUAAGGAGGCCCUCACCCCGGAUGUCCCACUCGGGUCCCAGCCCUGUUGACUGCUUCUUGAUGACAGAACAGAAAAUCUGUAACAGCCCUUGCACUGGUGGGCUAAUCGUCACUGGUGGGUGACGGAUGUUUCUUCAGAGCUAGAGUCAAGAUGGUGUUGGCAGACCGAGGCCGCCACGGGCGCCAAGGCAGCAGAGUCAGGGCUCGGCUCCCCAGGCAGUGCCCCAGACCCCUCGUGCUGUGCUGUGUUGCGUGUUGAAGGAUUAGACGACGCCAUGGAGGGCAGACGUCUGGACAGAUGGGACUCAACUGUUCUUGUCCUUGAGUUCUUUCUGAUUCUCUCUCCGUGUGUGGAGCUGCGUGGCUAAGGGUUUUCUCUGCACCUACCCUGUGCCCAGCCUCCACCUGCUACCGGCCGCAGGUCUGGGCUCCUAGAGAAGGAGGUCCCCCGAGGGCCCCGGGGCCUCAGAGAUUGCCUUGACCUCACAGAAGCUGCGGCUUCUCAAUCUUUCCUGCACCCGGGGCACUGCAUUUUGGCAUUCCGCAGCUCACGCCUCUCGAGUUCAUACGACAACCUUUAGAGGUAAGGACUGUGUUAUCCCCAUGCUGCAGAUGAGGAAACCAGGGCCCAGAGAGGGGUAGCAACCUGUCCCUGACCACAGAGCUAAAAAGCAGCAGAGUAGGGAUUUGAACUCCCAACUCCAGAGGCACGUUCUUCACCAUGAUGCCCCGCUCUUCCAUUUUCAAGGACCACGAGCCUGCUGAGUGCUGGCCGCUAGGUUGGGGGUUCCCACUGUCCCCUGGACCUCGGGGGCCCCCAAGGCUGGAGGCCCGGAGGCCCUCUGAAUUCUAGAGUGUUUUCAGGACAUCACUGGGGGGGCGGUUAAAGCAGGUUGCGGUCUUGACUUCCCGGGGUGGGAGGUUCCCAGAAGCCCAGGGCAAGCUCGGCCCCUUUUUCCUGAGGGGAGGGGGUGGUGUGAGUUGGGACACGUCCUCUUUUAAGGUUCUCUCUUGCUGCUUCUGACCACUUCCUCUUUUCCCUGGGGCGGAGGCAGGCUGUGGCUGCACUAAUGGCAGGCAUCCCAGCAGUGGCCCAGUGGCCGAGGAGGCCUCUCAGUCUCUCCUGGAAGGGCUUGCUUGGCUGGGCUGAGGGCACUUCUCCGCCUGGGCUUCCAUACCCUCCCCGCUGCCGCCAAGACCCUCCCCUGAGUCCCACCCAGAGAGCAGAGGGUGGGGGGCUCCCUGAGCUCUCCCUCAGCCAGACGGCUGCAUAUCCUCCAUUCAAGCUCCACCUGGGCUGAAUCUGCUUCCAGCAAUUUCCAUGGAGGACGUGGCCCAAGUUCAGGAACCCUGCCUGGACAGCCAGACCCCUCAGGAUGCUCAGGGAGGUGAGGACCCCAGUUCUGGGUAGAAGGCCCAGCCUAGCACCUCAACCAUGAGUGCCCCAUGUGGGCAGGGGAGCUGUGGCCUGGGAAGAAGAUGGGCGUUGAGAAAUGCGGGUUCCAGGCCUGGCUCUGCCGCUUGUCGGCUGCUGUGCUUACCAGGUUGCUUUUCUUCUUGGGCCUCGGUUUCCUCAUCCAUGCACUGGACAUAAAUAACACUUCAAAAGGUUGAAGAAACAAAUGCAGUGCUCUGUGUAUCGUGCUAAGCAGAGAGCCUGGUACUCGGCCAGGAUUUAGUGUCUUGCCUGUUACUGGGCAGAAACUGCAGCUGCCCUGAGCCAUCCAGGAUGCACUCCCCCUCCCCCCAGCUCCUGCAGAGGAAGGCCGGUCACAGGUCACAGCUCCCCAACCCGGUUUCCUGCCUCCACCCUGUCUCCACUCCUUUCUGCCCCAGUAGCCCCCAGCUUCCCACUUGUAGCAGGUACAACCCUCAAGUUCAGGUGGACAGGACCAUCACCUUUCCUCUGUAGCCUGUAGCCUCCCCACCCCAUCUAGCCAGGUUGGUAAAACAUCGACGUCAGUCAUCGUUGGGAUGUGCCCAGCCGAGUGUCCUGCCAAAGCCUUGGGUCAUCGUUUCUUUUUAUUGUGGUGAAAUACGCAGAACAUGAAUUGAGCCACCUGUAACGAUUUUUAAGGGUACGGUUCCAUGGCAUGAAGUAUAUUCACACUGCUGUAGAAACGUCGCCACCACCCAUCUCCAGAACUUUCUCGUCUUCCCAAACUGAAACCGUGUCCCCGGUAAACCAUGGCUCCCCAUGCCUGUCCCCAGCUGCUGCAACCCUUGUUCCACUUUCUGUCUCUAGAAUCAGACUGCCCUCCCUGCCUCUUAGAAGUGGAAUCACGCAGUCAUUGUCUCUGCGUGACUGGUUUGUUUUCGAUUAGCACAGCAUCCUCAAGGUUCACCCGUGUGGGGGCACGGGGCAGAAUCUCCAUCCUUUUUAUUUAUGUUUGAAUAAUAUUCCAACCUGUGUCUAGACCCCAUUUUGCUGGUCCACGUAUCCAUCGGUGGACACUUGGGUUGCUUCCGCGUCCUGGCUGCUGUGAAUAAUGUUGCUCCGCACGGGGGUGUGCAAAUACCCGUUCGAGUCCGUGCUUUCGGUUCUUGGGGGCGCAUACCUAGAAGUGGAAUUUCUAGAUCAUAUGGUAAUUAUGUUUGAUUAUUAUUAUUAUUUUUUUUUUUUUUGAGAAAAUGCCCAAUGCCCAAAGGCACUGGGGAGCCCCUCUGGCCAUACUGUGUACAGGGAGAUAGGAAAUGAGGAGCAAGACAUCAUAGGUUCAAAUCCUGGUCCUGCCACUUCCCAGUGCUGUGACCUUGGGCGACUCACUUCAUUGUCUCAGCUGUAACGAGGGAUGAGAGCAGUGCCUCCUGGGGCUGUGGUGGUGCUUAGAGCACAUACUUUGGAUGGUGCCUGGCGCACAGGGAGCCCUAGGGAUGUUAGCUCUGCCUCGUGGUGCAUCUGGACUCCUCCAGAGCUCUGAUCCUGCAACCUCACCGCUUCUGUGGUCCCAUGCCAGCCUGGCCCCUCCAUGGAACAUGCCUUUGGAGCCGGCCCUGCUUCUUCCCCAGGACUCCGACUCCUUUCCCCCUUUUUCAGGUCCCUGGGAAUCUCUCUUCAUUGAGGGAGUUUCUCUCCCUGUCCGUCUGUGGCUUAUGCUCUUGAAAACAAAAGCCAGAAAGCAAUGCCUCAGGCUAACCCUGUGAGAGCCUGAGCCAGGACCAGAGGGGAAACCAAGGACACUGACCAACAGGUCAGCAUGGGCACAGGCAAAGAGGACCCCUUUCUUCUUUCCUUUGACCUUGGUCGUGCCAUUCUCGAUAACUGGGUCUGGUCUAGGCCCCGUGUUUUGGGAAGGGUGAGGAGAGCUGGGAGGGUCACUGAGGACCGCCCACAGGCAUGAUUACAGGGACGGGGACGAGGCACUCUGGACUGAGAUGAAAGGAGCAGUGGUUUGGCACUUUCAACUCUAGGGGAGUCAGCUGGAGGGUUCCAGUCAGUGAGGGGUGGCUGUGGAGAUGAGAUUACCCUUCUUGCUGGGCCAGCAGCUAGGGCUCCAGGGCUGAGGCCGGCACAGUCCCACCUCUGGUUGAGGCCAAGCUGGUGUGCGGCUGUGUCUGGCCAGCUUGCCUGGUCUGCGUCCCCAGCCACCCCAACCCCCACCCUUGCUCCCGGGAAACUACUUCUGCUGAACGCGGAUGAUUCCUGGAGGAAGGUCAAGGCAAGACCUGGCAGGCUGAGGGCUUUGGUCCUGGGCGAUCACACCUGGAGGUUGGCCCAGCUGUGUCACCUCCACCUGUGACAAGAGGGGACAGAGAAACCUCCAGGAUUCCCCCCACACCCCUCCCUAUUCUCUUGCUGUCCCAUCACCUUUCCUUUCCUAUUUUGUCUUCUCUGUUCCUUUCACCUCAUACCAAGUGGUAUGUGAUUUGGAAAUUCACAAAGCAGUGUACUUCUCUUCACCGUUUAUCAAUACCCAGAACCUGGUGAGGAGCCAGCACUCAGUUUCUCUCAAGUGGGCUUUAGUGAAGGGCUUUUUUCCGUGGCCCUCUGGCAGAGCUCACUAAUGGGGACCCCUACUCCUGACAUGCUCCCUACCAUUGUCAAAACCAGUCCUGUCUUCGCUAUUUGCAGACAUCCCCAAAGGGGUGCUGAUAUCUGUUCUGGGGCAUUAAAUAAAAUAUGCUCUGAAGGUUAA